AUGGCGGCUGCGGCUGCACGGCUGCUGCUCCCCAGGGCGACCAGGGCUGCGGCCUCCUCCUCCUCUCUUCUCCAGCGCCCUCUCCAUUCCUUCUCCAGAUGCUUCAGAAGCCUCCUCCCGCGGCCGCCGCCCGCCGUCUUCCCGCGGCACCUCUCCGACGCUGCCUUCGACGCGCAGGCGCUGGACAACCGCGUCCCCGCUACCGUCAUCACCGGCUUCCUCGGCUCCGGCAAGACAACCCUCCUGAAUCACAUUCUAACAUCACAGCAUGGGAAGAGGAUUGCUGUCAUCGAGAAUGAGUUUGGUGAGGUGGAUAUCGAUAGCUCACUUGUGGCUAACCAUUCAUCCGUCGCUGAAGACAUUGUGAUGGUGAAUAAUGGCUGCUUGUGCUGCACUGUCCGAGGGGAUCUUGUAAAGAUGCUUCUGAAGCUGGUCAAGCAAAAGGGAGACAAAUUUGAUCAUAUCGUCAUUGAGACAACAGGUCUUGCAAAGCCUGGUCCUGUUAUUGAGACCUUUUGUUCUGAUGAAUUGGUCUCGAAAUAUGUGAAACUUGAUGGUGUUGUUACUUUGGUUGAUUGUAAGCAUGCCAUGCAACAUUUGAAUGAGGUGAAAGCAAGGUGGGUUGUGAACGAGGCAGUAGAACAAGUUGCUUAUGCAGAUCGGAUUAUAUUGAACAAGACUGAUUUGGUUGAUGACACAGAACUUGAGGUUUUGACCAACAAGAUCAAGCUCAUAAAUGGGAUGGCGCAAAUGAAAAAAGCAAAGUUUGGUGAUGUUGACAUGGAUUUUGUGCUAGGAAUUGGCGGUUAUGACCUUGAUAGGAUUGAGGCUGCAGUCCAAUUGAAUGAAAACAAAGAGACAGGGCAUUGCCACUUGGGACAUGAGCAUGGACGCCAUCAUGACCAUGUCCAUGAUACAGCUGUUACCAGUGUAAGUAUUGUUUCAGAGGGAUUACUUGAUCUUGAUGAGGUUAAUGAUUGGCUGGAGAGACUGGUUGAGGAGAAAGGCGAAGAUCUGUACAGAUUAAAGGGUGUUAUAUCCGUCAACGAGUCAACUGGACGCUUCGUGUUUCAGGGCGUGCACUCCAUGUUGGAAGGUUGCCCAGCGAAGCCGUGGGAGGAUGAUGAGAAGAGGAUCAGCAAGCUCGUGUUUAUCGGCAGGAAUCUGGACGAAGGCGCGCUAAGGAAGGCCUUCAAAGGUUGCCUGUUGUGA
rnacentral:rRNA from 1 species